GCUCGUCCGGCCCGCCCGCAGGCCAGCUUCUCUCGGGAGCCUCCACCCAGGCGCAUGGCUCCAUGAAGCAAGAGGAGGAGGCAGAGCGCGAGAGAUCCCGUCCGCCCCAGCCGCGUCUGGGCCAGGAGAAAAGCAAAACCAUAUUCCUGCUGCUGUCAGUUUUGAUGCACUGAGAAAACUUCAGAGACCUAAGCUUUUUCCAGAGAAGAGAAGCUUUACUGGUGUUCCAGCCCUAAGAAACUUAAAUCCUCAGUGUGACACAACUCAGUCCUUCUACUGCAGCAGCUCUUUUAUAAAAGCCUCCCAAAGCUCCAAGAAGGAACAAAGAAUGUGACCCAGUAAGCUCACACCAUAAGUCUAUAUUGCAGAAACCUUUGUUCAACAAAACUGCAGAUGCUCUGUUGAAUCCACUGGAGAUUGUCCUGAUACUAAGGACAAGUAUGCUCAUAUGACAUUAACAGACAAGACACUUUUCAGAAAGACAGAUGGAGUCUCUCUGUCACCCAGACUGGAAUGCAGUGGCAUGAUCUUGGUUCACUGAAACCUCUGCCUUUCUGGUUCAAGCAAUUCUCAUGUUUCAGCCUCCCAGGCAACGUGUUGGACCUUCCGGAGCUUCUCAGAAGACAGAGGGUUUUCUUUUGAGGUAAAUUUGAUAGUACAUUUUGAUAGUACAGGAGGCGAUACGGCAUGGUGACAGAAAAGCGCCGGCUUGGUUAGCGGGACCACCUGGCAGGGCUGCAGGCUGUGCCACUUACCAGGCAGGGGACCUUGGGCCAGCUGCUUGGCCUCACUCACCCUGUUUCCUCAGCUGCAAUUGGGAUGAACAGACUGCCUGCUUCGGGGUUGCCUAAAACUCACAUUGCUUAAUGAUGUGAAAUGCUUAGCGCAGUGCCUGGCAUAGAGAGAAUUCUCAUUAGAUGAUACCUCAGCUGGGCUUUAGGAGCUACAGAAGAAGCUGCAUCUCCAUGAGCUCAGCGUGUUUCUAGCUUUCCUUUUUGUUUUCUAUUCAACCUUUCACCCAACUCAGCUUCUCAAUCCCUAAAUGACAAAGGUUUGGGAAGGAAGACUUGGACCGAUGCUUGCAUUUGUUUCUGAGAAUUAAACGUUAUGUUUUCUUCAAUCCAAA
rnacentral:lncRNA from 1 species